UGCUUUUGGAAACAAGGAAUAAAACCCUUCUGUUCUUUGAAGUGAACAACGCCUGGGUUCCUGUGUUUUCUUUUCCUCAACUGCUUCUGCUGUUACCACGACCGCUGCUGAGUGGCUCCUUCUCAUCCAGGUCCUGACAUCAUCCGGGGGAGGGUCCUGCUGCUAGCAGCUACGCUAAGAGGUCCAACUGGUGGGAUUCAUGGGAUAGCUUUCUCAUCUGCUACCCUCAUAUUGUCCAUUUGGCUUCCAGCAGAAAAUUCAAGAUGCAUCUGAAUGAACAUGGGCUACUUCAAUUCCAGGGGUCUGGGUGCCAUGAUGCCUGCCAACACCUUUCCUGUCACCCACCAAGUGAUCAUCGUUAAGCACCACCAGCUUCAUGUCUUUCACCAAGGUCAAGCGCGUAGUGUCAGACAAAGGUAUCAGCUGAUGACCACAUUACUGCCCAGCAAACUUCCUGAAUGAGCACUCCUCUCAUAAACUCUGCAGAAGAUUCCUGUGCCCUGGUUGAAUGGGCAUGAACCACUGAAGGACAUGAAACAUUCACUAUCUUGAAACACAGCUUUAUUGCUGACACAGCUCAAUGUGAAGAGGCACUCCUUCCCUUAGAAGGCUUUAAAUAUGAUACAAAUAAAGUUUUAUCUUUUCUAAAGUCCAUUGUUCCAUGUAAA